rnacentral:rRNA from 1 species
UACGUAGGCAGCAAGCGUUGUUCGGAAUUACUGGGCGUAAAGAGUGUGUAGGCGGUGUUCUAAGUUCGGUGUGAAAUCUCCCGGCUUAACUGGGAGGGUGCGCCGGAAACUGGAGUGCUCGAGCGUGGGAGAGGAAAGCGGAAUUCCUGGUGUAGCGGUGAAAUGCGUAGAUAUCAGGAGGAACACCUGCGGUGUAGACGGCUUUCUGGACCAUUGCUGACGCUGAGACACGAAAGCGUGGGUAGCAAACAGG